GACAGAGGGCGCGAGCGUUGUCCGGAGUCACUGGGCGUAAAGCGCGCGCAGGCGGCAACCUAAGUGUCGUGUGAAAGCCCCCGGCUCAACCGGGGGAGGCCAUGGCAAACUGGGUCGCUCGAGCUGCGGAGAGGCCCCUCGAAUUGCCGGUGUGGCGGUGAAAUGCGUAGAAAUCGGCAGGAAGACCAAGGGGGAAGCCAGGGGGCUGGCCGCAGGCUGACGCUGAGGCGCGACAGCGUGGGGAGCAAACCGG
rnacentral:rRNA from 1 species